rnacentral:lncRNA from 1 species
ACAUCUAUUAACUUUUAUGGAUAAUUCUUUUUGAACAAAACUAAUCUCAUAUUUUGGAUUCUUAAAAUGGCUUUGGUUUCAACUCGUUUUAGGCAAGCCUGAUCAAAACUUCUCAGGUUUUAUUUUUAAUUUGUGCGAUAGGAUUAUUAUUUUUAUUUUGUUUAGCUGUACUAAUCAUUUUUAGAAGAAAAUGUUCCUUUCUUGAUAAAACUUUUAAAAAAAAUACAUUUUGUGCAGAGUUCUUAAUUUCCAUAACAGCCCACCUGAUGUGUAAAAUAUGUUGGUGCACAGUAAAAUUUCACAGUGUGUGCUUUCCUGUCCUUCUUUUUCCUGGUAUAGUUGGGGUGUAACUUGACUUAGACACUACUAAUUGUUAUAAACCUCCAGUACCCUUGAUUUGCCAAAUAAGUUUGAAGAACAAAGUGUAUCAUUUUCUGUUACCUUAACUCUCACAAUGCUGUAUCACAUAAUAAAGCCUCAACAGACUUGGAUUAAAA